rnacentral:rRNA from 1 species
GACGAACGCUGGCGGCGUGCUUAACACAUGCAAGUCGAACGGAAAGGCCCUGCUUUUGUGGGGUGCUCGAGUGGCGAACGGGUGAGUAACAAGUGAGUAACCUGCCCUUGACUUUGGGAUAACUUCAGGAAACUGGGGCUAAUACCGGAUAGGAGCUCCUGCUGCAUGGUGGGGGUUGGAAAGUUUCGGCGGUUGGGGAUGGACUCGCGGCUUAUCAGCUUGUUGGUGGGGUAGUGGCUUACCAAGGCUUUGACGGGUAGCCGGCCUGAGAGGGUGACCGGCCACGUUGGGACUGAGAUACGGCACAGACUCCUACGGGAGGCAGCAGUGGGGAAGAUUGCACAAUGGGCGGAAGCCUGAUGCAGCAACGCCGCGUGCGGGAUGACGGCCUUCGGGUUGUAAACCGCUUUCGCCUGUGACGAAGCGUGAGUGACGGUAAUGGGUAAAGAAGCACCGGCUAACUACGUG